GGAUUGUGGCUCAGAGGAAGAGUGCUUGUCCCGCAUGCAUGAGGCACUGGGUUCAAUCCUCAGCACCA
rnacentral:tRNA from 1 species